rnacentral:misc_RNA from 1 species
GAAAGAACUAGAUUGAAGGGGAUUGAAUAAACUUUAAAUUUUAGACUACAUCAAGAUUGAUCUUGCUAUAACAUUAAAGCCAUUUUUAUGACCAUUUAUACAUACAAUGAACAGGACAGAGCAGAUCAAAACGUUCAUCCAUCGAUCAAAUCCUUUCGAGAUCUUACAUAUGUGUCAGUCACAUACAGCACCCAAUUCAAUUAUUGAAGAAAGAAACAAAAGGACGAUGAUCAUGAUUAAGAUUUAACAAAAACCCAUCAAACCUUUGUUGAAGAAGAUGUCGAUAACUGAGUCUGCUCGUCGUCGCUGCACAAUCCAAGCUGCUGGGUCCUCUUUCCCAUUUGCAAACAAGAAGAAGAAGGUGAGGAAUGGCAGGAAGCUGCAGCAGCCAAUGCCAAGCACCCUUCACUCCAAGACCUUCGAAUAGGAUACGACACAUUUUUGCACUUGGACAUCCCAUGAGGGCAAGAGUCUUUUGAGUUAUUAUGAAGAGCACAUCUGCAGUUACGAUGAUAAGGCCUGCGUUCGAUGCCAGUGUCGCCGCCGGAGAGACAACCGUCGUAGACAUACCGGAAAAAGCCGUCGGCAGCUCCAGUGGCCAUCAGCCUCACCAGAAGGAGGAUGAGGAAGAAUAGGAGCAAAUGGCGUGUACAAGUAAUGGAGCAAGAGAAAGAGACUUGUAGAAAGUGGCUAUUUAUGGGAAUAUAAAAGGAAGGAGUGGUGGGGACAAGGGAGUUGUUUGUCGGCGAG